CUUAUCUUACUCACCCGUGCUAACCUCCCUUUAGGCGACGUUUCGGUCAUACAACCGUCGUCUAUACUUUUAGUCGACGGACAACAUAUAGCGUCGCUAAAAGUAUAAAUGAUGGUUGUAUGACCGAAACCGUCGUCUAAAGAGAUGAGCACGGGUGAGUAAAAUAAG
rnacentral:pre_miRNA from 1 species